AGAGUUUGAUCAUGGCUCAGGAUGAACGCCGGCGGUGUGCCUAAUACAUGCAAGUCGAACGCGUUGGCCCAACUGAUUGAACGUGCUUGCACGGACUUGACGUUGGUUUACCAGCGAGUGGCGGACGGGUGAGUAACACGUAGGUAACCUGCCCCAAAGCGGGGGAUAACAUUUGGAAACAGAUGCUAGUACCGCAUAACAAUUUGAAUCGCAUGAUUCAAAUUUAAAAGAUGGUUUCGGCUAUCACUUUGGGAUGGACCUGCGGCGCAUUAGCUUGUUGGUAGGGUAACGGCCUACCAAGGCUGUGAUGCGUAGCCGAGUUGAGAGACUGAUCGGCCACAAUGGAACUGAGACACGGUCCAUACUCCUACGGGAGGCAGCAGUAGGGAAUCUUCCACAAUGGGCGCAAGCCUGAUGGAGCAACACCGCGUGAGUGAAGAAGGGUUUCGGCUCGUAAAGCUCUGUUGUUAGAGAAGAACGUGCGUGAGAGCAACUGUUCACGCAGUGACGGUAUCUAACCAGAAAGUCACGGCUAACUACGUGCCAGCAGCCGCGGUAAUACGUAGGUGGCAAGCGUUAUCCGGAUUUAUUGGGCGUAAAGCGAGCGCAGGCGGUUUGAUAAGUCUGAUGUGAAAGCCUUUGGCUUAACCAAAGAAGUGCAUCGGAAACUGUCAGACUUGAGUGCAGAAGAGGACAGUGGAACUCCAUGUGUAGCGGUGGAAUGCGUAGAUAUAUGGAAGAACACCAGUGGCGAAGGCGGCUGUCUGGUCUGCAACUGACGCUGAGGCUCGAAAGCAUGGGUAGCGAACAGGAUUAGAUACCCUGGUAGUCCAUGCCGUAAACGAUGAGUGCUAGGUGUUGGAGGGUUUCCGCCCUUCAGUGCCGCAGCU
rnacentral:rRNA from 1 species